rnacentral:rRNA from 1 species
AUGUACAUUCCUACAACAUAUCAUUAAUGCACCGGAUCCCAUUAUAAAUUUGUAGUUAAGCACGCUCAGGCUAAAGUAGUAUUGGGAUGGGUGAUCACCCAGGAAGUCCUAGUUUUUUACAUC